rnacentral:misc_RNA from 1 species
CGGCUGGGUCUAGGUUUUCCCCAAAUAUACAAAGAUCAAGUUUAACAUUUAGAAGAAAAACAAGGAAAAAAACAUGGAAAGCUCACAAAUGAAACAGACCAUAAAGACCAAUAUAAUCUUCCCAUAUAUAUAUAUAUAUAUGGAAACGAAGAUUUCCAGAGAUAGAACUAAUGGCCUGGGAAUGGUAGCAGUGAAAAUAGCACAUGGGUUUUAUUGGUGUUGUUAAUUAAAGAAGAUGAUCUUAUAUAAUAGAAAAAUUCAGUAGUUAGUUCCUGUCCUGGUAUUCCAGCAACUGCAUGCGACUUUGUAACCUUAGCUGCUCAUAAAACCUUCGAAUGAAUUCCUCAGCUUCAUCAUCGACACCUCCAUUUAUUCCACUAUCGUUCUCAUCUUCCGAUGAAUAAUUCGACACCCUUACAGAUAAGGGCGAAGGGAGAGGGCUACGCUUCUCUUCUGGAGCAAAGUCAGAGGCAUCAAGAUGAUGAAAUAAGUUGAAGGGAUACUCAUCAGGGGUCUUUGGCGCCAUCACCCGUGCUGCUGCCUUAUUAGUCUCUUCUUCUUCUUCGAUGACCUCAGGGGGAUUGAUGCAAGGGAAGUAAUGGUGUUUGCGCUUUGGCAAGUGGAAAAAAACAGGAUUUGGGCUGUUGCUACAAGAGAACUCGUACUCCUCUAAGCCAUAGCUACCGCUUGCCAUGUUUCCGUGGUGGUGGUGAUGAUGAUGGCAUAUGAGAUUGCUAAAAUAUUUCCUUAGAAGCUUCCCUCUCUUCACCAUGAGAUUCAUGUCCAUUAUCAACUUCCUCUUUGAAACCAAUCCCUUCCUGAUCAUAAAGAAGGUCAGCCUCAACACAUUCCAUAGCCUCUUGGCCGCUAACAUGGAGUUCACCCUGGGAUGUACCUCCAUUUCACACUAACCUGUAAGAACCAAGCUUGAUAAUCAUUGAUAAUUAAGGAAGNNNNNNNNNAUGGAGGAGAGAGAAUAUACAAAUAUAUGAGAAAUUAUAAUUCAGAAGAUGGGUUGUGGUGGGUUUUCUUGUUUCUGCAAUGUUUGCCAGACCUCGCGGAACGAAG